rnacentral:rRNA from 1 species
UACAGAGGGUGCGAGCGUUAAUCGGAAUUACUGGGCGUAAAGCGCGCGUAGGUGGUUAUUUAAGUCGGAUGUGAAAUCCCCGAGCUCAACUUGGGAAUUGCGUUCGAUACUGGGUAGCUAGAGUAUGGGAGAGGAAGGUAGAAUUCCAGGUGUAGCGGUGAAAAUGCGUAGAGAUCUGGAGGAAUACCGAUGGCGAAGGCAGCCUUCUGGCCUAAUACUGACGCUGAGGUGCGAAAGCAUGGGAGCAACAGGAUAGAUACCGACG